GUUGCUCUAAGCUCCAGUACUUGCCGGUUGCAAAACUUGUGAAUAUCCUUUGCUAGACCAAUGGUGCUUGCUGCAAUUGAGUCCUAGCUAGCUAGCUUAGCUUCUACAUUCUUUGUCCUUGUUUUAUAAGAUAAUCCCACUUCUGAAAUUCGAAUCACUUUUCUAUUGCUGUUGGACUAGGUUGGUCAGUUUUCUUUUCCUUUUGUGUGCUUUUGAUGGUCCUGACUGAAUCUGUAGUGGAAUUAGCUAUUUUCUCUUUUUACCAAUAUUUCCCACUUCCCUGUUUCGUCAUAAGGUAACUUUUGCUUUGUUAUUCAAUUUCUUUGAGUCCACAUACUUAAUAUUUAGUCAUUCAAAUUUUGAUAGGUUUUUCCAGUGUUGAUUUUAAGGUUUUUCAUUAGUACCAUAGUUAUUUCUCAAUUGCUAUCCAAGUUUGAGUCUCUCAAUAGUUGGUCAUAUAUAACAGCCGGUGAAACCUUCAUAUUGCAAAUGUCUCUGAACAGCAGGCAUCAUCAACCUCAAUAUGCUACUCUG
rnacentral:lncRNA from 1 species